UGCAUGGUGGUGCAGUUGGUAGCACUGUUGCCUUUCAGCAAGGAAGUCCUUGGUUCGACUCCUGGCCGGGGUCU